GGACGAAAGUCUGACCGAGCAACGCCCGCGUGAGUGAAGAAGGUUUUCGGAUCGUAAAACUCUGUUGUUAGAGAAGAACAAGGAUGAGAGUAACUGUUCAUCCCUUGACGGUAUCUAACCAGAAAGCCACGGCUAACUACGUGCCAGCAGCCGCGGUAAUACGUAGGUGGCAAGCGUUGUCCGGAUUUAUUGGGCGUAAAGCGAGCGCANGCGGUUUCUUAAGUCUGAUGUGAAAGCCCCCGGCUCAACCGGGGAGGGUCAUUGGAAACUGGGAGACUUGAGUGCAGAAGAGGAGAGUGGAAUUCCAUGUGUAGCGGUGAAAUGCGUAGAUAUAUGGAGGAACACC
rnacentral:rRNA from 1 species